rnacentral:rRNA from 2 species
UUGACCUCGGAUCAGGUAGGGAUACCCGCUGAACUUAAGCAUAUCAAUAAGGCGG